ensembl:lncRNA
CACAAAUUUAUUCCUUUCAGAAAAUAACUUACAUUCCAGAACACACACAUUGUGACAGCAUAUUUCCAGUGUUCCUUUUCUUGUAAUUUUUCUUAAGUUGCAUUUACACAGGAAGCCCAAUUCUGAUCUUUUGGCCCCAAUAUUGGCAAAAGAUCUGAUCUGAUUGGGCAAGAGAUCAGAAUUGGGCAACCGGUGUGAACGUAGCCUUACACACAGUAAAGAGGUUAGACAUUGCAUUAUCAGAAGGAUUUCUGGCGGAUAUAUUUACACGUACAGUACAUUCAGAUCAACAUCAUAAAAAGGUCCAUCCUAUCAGAUCAGUGAUAAAAAGGUCCAUCCUAUCAGAUCAGCGUGAUAAAAAGGUCCAUCCUAUCAGAUCAGCGUGAUAAAAAGGUCCAUCCUAUCAGAUCAGCGUGAUAAAAAGGUCCAUCCUAUCAGAUCUGCGUGAUAAAAAGGUCCAU